GAUGAACGCUGGCGGCGUGCUUAACACAUGCAAGUCGAACGGAAAGGCCCAAGCUUGCUUGGGUCCUCGAGUGGCGAACGGGUGAGUAACACGUGGGUGAUCUGUCCUGCACUUCGGGAUAAGCCUGGGAAACUGGGUCUAAUACCGGAUAGGAUCACAUUUUGGAUGGUGUGGUGGAAAGUUUUUCGGUGUGGGAUGAGCUCGCGGCCUAUCAGCUUGUUGGUGGGGUAAUGGCCUACCAAGGCGUCGACGGGUAGCCGGCCUGAGAGGGUGUACGGCCACAUUGAGACUGAGAUACAGCCCAGACUCCUACGAGGGGCAGCGGUGGGGAAUAUUACACAAUGGGCACAAGCCUGAUGCAGCGACGCCACGUGGGUGAUGACGACCUUGGGGUUGGAAACUCCUUUCGCUAGGGACGAAGCGUUAUGUGACGGUACCUGGAGAAGAAGCACCGGCUAACUACGUG
rnacentral:rRNA from 1 species